AUUGAACGCUGGCGGCAUGCCUUACACAUGCAAGUCGAACGGCAGCAUGAUCUAGCUUGCUAGAUUGAUGGCGAGUGGCGAACGGGUGAGUAAUACAUCGGAACGUGCCCUGUCGUGGGGGAUAACUAGUCGAAAGAUUAGCUAAUACCGCAUACGACCUGAGGGUGAAAGUGGGGGACCGCAAGGCCUCAUGCUAUAGGAGCGGCCGAUGUCUGAUUAGCUAGUUGGUGAGGUAAAGGCUCACCAAGGCGACGAUCAGUAGCUGGUCUGAGAGGACGAUCAGCCACACUGGGACUGAGACACGGCCCAGACUCCUACGGGAGGCAGCAGUGGGGAAUUUUGGACAAUGGGCGAAAGCCUGAUCCAGCAAUGCCGCGUGUGUGAAGAAGUCCUUCGGGUUGUAAAGCACUUUUGUCCGGAAAGAAAUAGCUCUGGUUAAUACCUGGGGUCGAUGACGGUACCGGAAGAAUAAGGACCGGCUAACUACGUG
rnacentral:rRNA from 1 species